UACGAAGGAUCCAAGCGUUGUCCGGAUUUACUGGGUUUAAAGGGUGCGUAGGCGGAUUAUUAAGUCAGUGGUGAAAGCUUGCAGCUUAACUGUAAAAUUGCCAUUGAAACUGAUAAUCUCGAAUAUGGUUGAGGUGGUUGGAAUGUAUCAUGUAGCGGUGAAAUGCUUAGAUAUGAUACAGAACACCGAUUGCGAAGGCAGAUCACUAAACCAUUAUUGACGCUGAGGCACGAAAGCGUGGGGAUCAAAC
rnacentral:rRNA from 1 species